UACGUAGGGUGCAAGCGUUGUCCGGAAUUAUUGGGCGUAAAGAGCUCGUAGGCGGUCUGUCGCGUCGGCUGUGAAAACUCGGGGCUCAACCCCGAGCCUGCAGUCGAUACGGGCAGACUAGAGUGCGGUAGGGGAGACUGGAAUUCCUGGUGUAGCGGUGAAAUGCGCAGAUAUCAGGAGGAACACCGGUGGCGAAGGCGGGUCUCUGGGCCGAAACUGACGCUGAGGAGCGAAAGCGUGGGGAGCAAACAGG
rnacentral:rRNA from 1 species